rnacentral:piRNA from 1 species
UGGUCCCGCCUACAAAGAGACUGUCUACCUUG